rnacentral:snoRNA from 1 species
GCAGUGAUGACAUCCCAAUCAAAGAACACAUUAAAUUGCAGACACUAGUGAUGGGGC